rfam:Streptomyces paucisporeus strain CGMCC 4.2025 genome assembly, contig: Ga0079900_112
GGUGGCGGUCGCGACUGGCGAGGGUGGACCACCACCGGGGAGCGGCCGUCCGCAUCCGUGAGCGUCGACCGCCUGGGCGCCUCCC